CCGAGAAUAUUCCGCAAUGGACGAAAGUCUGACGGAGCGACGCCGCGUGAUGGAUGAAGUGCUUCGGUACGUAAACAUCUUUUAUCGGGGACGAAAUUUAUUGACGGUACCACAUGAAUAAGGGGCUCCUAACUCUGUGCCAGCAGGAGCGGUAAUACAGAGGCCCCGAGCGUUACCCGGAAUCACUGGGCGUAAAGGGUGUCCAGGCGGCCGUACUAGUCGUUCGUUAAAUCCGUGGGCUUAACCUACGGCAUGCGAGCGAAACGGUACGGCUCGAGGGCGCGAGAGGUGCAUGGAACUCACGGUGGAGGGGUGAAAUCCGUUGAUAUCGUGGGGAACACCAAAGGCGAAGGCAGUGCACUGGCGCGUUCCUGACGCUCACACACGAAAGCCAGGGGAUCGAACGGGAUUAGAUACCCCCGUAGUCC
rnacentral:rRNA from 1 species